rnacentral:rRNA from 1 species
AGGACGAACGCUGGCGGCGUGCUUAACACAUGCAAGUCGAGCGGAAAGGCCCUUCGGGGUACUCGAGCGGCGAACGGGUGAGUAACACGUGAGCAAUCUGCCCCUAGCUCUGGGAUAGCUCCGGGAAACCGGGAUUAAUACCAGAUACAACCACUUUAGACAUCUUUUGUGGUGGAAAGGAUUCCGGCUAGGGAUGAGCUCGCGGCCUAUCAGCUUGUGGUGGGUAACUGCCUACCAAGGCGACGACGGGUA